GACGAACGCUGGCGGCGUGCUUAACACGUGCAAGUCGAACGGAAAGGCCCUGCUUUUGUGGGGUGCUCGAGUGGCGAACGGGUGAGUAACACGUGAGUAACCUGCCCUUGACUUUGGGAUAACUUCAGGAAACUGGGGCUAAUACCGGAUAGGAGCUCCUGCUGCAUGGUGGGGGUUGGAAAGUUUCGGCGGUUGGGGAUGGACUCGCGGCUUAUCAGCUUGUUGGUGGGGUAGUGGCUUACCAAGGCUUUGACGGGUAGCCGGCCUGAGAGGGUGACCGGCCACAUUGGGACUGAGAUACGGCCCAGACUCCUACGGGAGGCAGCAGUGGGGAAUAUUGCACAAUGGGCGGAAGCCUGAUGCAGCAACGCCGCGUGCGGGAUGACGGCCUUCGGGUUGUAAACCGCUUUCGCCUGUGACGAAGCGUGAGUGACGGUAAUGGGUAAAGAAGCACCGGCUAACUACGUGCCAGCAGCCGCGGUGAUACGUAGGGUGCGAGCGUUGUCCGGAUUUAUUGGGCGUAAAGGGCUCGUAGGUGGUUGAUCGCGUCGGAAGUGUAAUCUUGGGGCUUAACCCUGAGCGUGCUUUCGAUACGGGUUGACUUGAGGAAGGUAGGGGAGAAUGGAAUUCCUGGUGGAGCGGUGGAAUGCGCAGAUAUCAGGAGGAACACCAGUGGCGAAGGCGGUUCUCUGGGCCUUUCCUGACGCUGAGGAGCGAAAGCGUGGGGAGCGAACAGGCUUAGAUACCCUGGUAGUCCACGCUGUAAACGGUGGGUACUAGGUGUGGGGUCCAUUCCACGGGUUCCGUGCCGUAGCUAACGCUUUAAGUACCCCGCCUGGGGAGUACGGCCGCAAGGCUAAAACUCAAAGGAAUUGACGGGGCCCCGCACAAGCGGCGGAGCAUGCGGAUUAAUUCGAUGCAACGCGUAGAACCUUACCUGGGUUUGACAUGGAUCGGGAGCGCUCAGAGAUGGGUGUGCCUCUUUUGGGGUCGGUUCACAGGUGGUGCAUGGCUGUCGUCAGCUCGUGUCGUAAGAUGUUGGGUUAAGUCCCGCAACGAGCGCAACCCUUGUUCACUGUUGCCAGCACGUUAUGGUGGGGACUCAGUGGAGACCGCCGGGGUCAACUCGGAGGAAGGUGGGGAUGACGUCAAGUCAUCAUGCCCCUUAUGUCCAGGGCUUCACGCAUGCUACAAUGGCUGGUACAGAGAGUGGCGAGCCUGUGAGGGUGAGCGAAUCUCGGAAAGCCGGUCUCAGUUCGGAUUGGGGUCUGCAACUCGACCUCAUGAAGUCGGAGUCGCUAGUAAUCGCAGAUCAGCAACGCUGCGGUGAAUACGUUCCCGGG
rnacentral:rRNA from 1 species